GUACAGGCCGCAAGGUGCUGACGAGUGGCGAACGGGUGAGUAAUGCAUCGGAACGUGCCCGGUCGUGGGGGAUAACACUUCGAAAGAAGUGCUAAUACCGCAUACGAUCUGAGGAUGAAAGCGGGGGACCGUAAGGCCUCGCGCGAUCGGAGCGGCCGAUGUCAGAUUAGGUAGUUGGUGGGGUAAAGGCUCACCAAGCCAACGAUCUGUAGUUGGUCUGAGAGGACGACCAGCCACACUGGGACUGAGACACGGCCCAGACUCCUACGGGAGGCAGCAGUGGGGAAUUUUGGACAAUGGGCGCAAGCCUGAUCCAGCAAUGCCGCGUGCAGGAAGAAGGCCUUCGGGUUGUAAACUGCUUUUGUACGGAACGAAACGGUCCGGGUUAAUACCCUGGGCUAAUGACGGUACCGUAAGAAUAAGCACCGGCUAACUACGUGCCAGCAGCCGCGGUAAUACGUAGGGUGCAAGCGUUAAUCGGAAUUACUGGGCGUAAAGCGUGCGCAGGCGGUUUUGUAAGACAGGCGUGAAAUCCCCGGGCUCAACCUGUGAAUUGCGCUUGUGACUGCAAGGCUGGAGUGCGGCAGAGGGGGAUGGAAUUCCGCGUGUAGCAGUGAAAUGCGUAGAUAUGCGGAGGAACACCGAUGGCGAAUGCAAUCCCCUGGGCCUGCACUGACGCUCAUGCACGAAGCGUGGGGAGC
rnacentral:rRNA from 1 species